AGAGUUUGAUCAUGGCUCAGAGCGAACGCUGGCGGCAGGCCUAACACAUGCAAGUCGAGCGCCCCGCAAGGGGAGCGGCAGACGGGAGAGUAACACGUGGGAACGUGCCCUUUGGUUCGGAACAACACAGGGAAACUUGUGCUAAUACCGGAUAAGUCCGUAAGGAGAAAGAUUUAUCGCCAAAGGAUCGGCCCGCGUCUGAUUAGCUUGUUGGUGAGGUAACGGCUCACCAAGGCGACGAUCAGUAGCUGGUCUGAGAGGAUGAUCAGCCUCACUGGGACUGAGACACGGCCCAGACUCCUACGGGAGGCAGCAGUGGGGAAUAUUGGACAAUGGGCGCAAGCCUGAUCCAGCCAUGCCGCGUGGAUGAUGAAGGCCCUAGGGUUGUAAAGUCCUUUCGACGGGGAAGAUAAUGACGGUACCCGUAGAAGAAGCCCCGGCUAACUUCGUGCCAGCAGCCGCGGUAAUACGAAGGGGGCUAGCGUUGCUCGGAAUCACUGGGCGUAAAGCGCACGUAGGCGGCUUUUUAAGUCAGGGGUGAAAUCCUGGAGCUCAACUCCAGAACUGCCUUUGAUACUGAGAAGCUUGAGUCCGGGAGAGGUGAGUGGAACUGCGAGUGUAGAGGUGAAAUUCGUAGAUAUUCGCAAGAACACCAGUGGCGAAGGCGGCUCACUGGCCCGGUACUGACGCUGAGGUGCGAAAGCGUGGGGAGCAAACAGGAUUAGAUACCCCCGUAGUCC
rnacentral:rRNA from 1 species